rnacentral:rRNA from 1 species
GAUGAACGCUGGCGGCGUGCCUAAUACAUGCAAGUCGAGCGAACAGAUGAUGAUCUUUCUCCUCUUACGUUAGCGGCUGACGUGUGAUUAACACGUGUAUAACCUACCUAUAAUACUUGGAUAACUUCGUGAAACCGUUUCUAAUACCGUAUAAUAUAUUUAACCGCAUGUUUCAAUAGUUAAAGACGGUUUUGCUGUCUCUUAUAUAUUGUUCCUCGCCGCAUUAGCUAGUUGUUAAGGUAACGGCUUACCAAGGCAACGAUGCGUAGACGACGUGAGAGGGUGAGCGGCGACACGGGAAGGGAGAAACGGACAAGAAGACGACGGGAGGAAGCAGAAGGGAAUAGUACGCAAUGGGGGAAAGAAUGAAGGAGCAAAGCCGCGUGAGUGAAGAAGGUAUGAGGAGCGUAAAACACUGUUAGGAGGGAAGAAAAAAAGUGUAAGAAAAAAUGAAAGUAGUGACGGUAACGAAAAAGAAAGAAACGGCUAACUACGUG